ensembl:lncRNA
UUCGUGCGACUCGUUUUAUUGUGUAAUUUGGUGUGUUGCAUGGUCUGGAGCAGAACCUGCAGACUCUGUGUGUUUCUGGGUGUCGGGGGAAGUGCUCUGUCUCCAGUUUCUGAUCAAAUUCCAGGGAUGAGCUCAGACAGCCCGCGCCUGGGCAAGUGACCGCCCCCCACCAUGUGCCCAGCCCGCAGGCUUGGUCAGUGGUUGAUUUUACAGAUGACCCACAGGGAGGCCUGUGGCGCCUCCCAGAUCUGUUUGGCAACAGACAGAGAACUGGCCCCCGGGCUCUGCAGGCUGACCACAUGCUUGGGCCCCCUUUGCGCCGCUCCCCGGGGCCGCUGGGGCCACCCUGCUGGUCAGUAAUCCAGGGUGGCCGUGAGGACUCUGUUCCCAGCCAGGGCCCCUUUCACUGUGCCCCCCCACCUCCCCCCUCUGCCACCUCCCUCCUGCCUUCUUUCCUCCAGCCACAGUGUGUGCCCACGUCCCUGGGGCUGUGGGGCCGUGCCAGGGCCUGCACUCUGGGCCUCAUAUCCGUGCCUGGGACCUGGGGCUUCUCUCUCAGUGGCCCUUGACUGGGACCAGGCUGGUUACUCUCUGGAUGGCUGAGCUCCCGGAAGAGCGGGGGUUGAGCUCUGCAGCCUGGGCACCUCCGUGCAACCUGAUGGCAGGCCCAGGGCCCAGGGAGCAGAGGGGCACGGGGUCUGUCUUGGGGCCGCCCUGGGCACUCGGGACCCGCACCUGCCCAGGAGGCUCCUGGGGGCCAGCGAGAGGACCAAGGCCAGACCGAGGACACACCCCCUGCCCAGCCUCCUUCCUCCAGGGCAGCCCGAGGGCCUGGGCAGGAGGUAUCCUGGCUGGAAUCCGGGAGUAAGCCAAGGAUCAGCACUGACCAGCCUGGGGCCAGCUCUGCCACUGUGGCUGGGCUGCAGCCACCUUCCUGGCCUGAGUCCUCCUGGCUGAGGUCCCUGUAGGAUGCACGGUGGCCACCGUGGCCCCUCUAAAUUAAAGUGAGCACUGGGGGUGCAGACAGGAGAGGCCUGUGGGGCUCCCAUGGCUGCACCCAAGCUCUGGGGCCAGCACAGGUUCAGGCUGUUGGCAGGCUGGGAGCUCUGCCAGCCUGGCCGAGAGGCCACCCAUGGUCUCUGGGUCACUUUCCAGGCCACAGCCCUCUCAGGAUCUGGGCACUCCUGGCUGUGAGCCCUGGAUCCCCCGGGCCUCUGCUGUCGCAGCAUCGGUACCAGAGGCCUGGGCACCAGGACACAUCCCGGGCGGGGCUUCCCAUGCCCUCUGCACCCGGGACAGAUGGCCAGAGCACCUCAAGCGUGGCCUCCUGCCAGGCGGGGCGUCCUUCUCGGCGUUGCCAUGAAGCCCGAGAUCCUCGCGGUGCAUGCAGCUCCCCUGUAGCCCGGGCCCCAGGCUGACGACCCUUCCUGGCCAGUUGGCAGCCCCUUUACUCCUGUGCCUCGGCGGCUCUGAGAACCUUCCGGGGGCCUUCGUCCUAUGAGCCCUUAACUGCCAAAUAAAUAUUUGCCCAGGGCGGGGCUUGGUGCUCAGGGUUAGGCAGUAAAUGGGCUGAGAGUCUGAGGAGCCUGUGGCUGCCCGGUGGAGCCCAGGCAGCGUUGGGGUGCUGGCCCGGCCGCGUCCAGUUCCCUGUCCAGGCAGGAGGGCAGAGCUGACCCCAUGGCCAGCCCAGCACAGGCUGAACGCCAGCCCAGAGACAGAGGAGGAUGGAGGCAGCGGGAAAUCCUGGGAAUGUGAGGUGCAUGGAAAGGCGGUCAAUCCCAGAGGUCAGCGGAAGGCGGCAGGCAGGUCCUUGGCGGCCAGGGCAGAGGCGGGAAAAGGCACAUACACACCGAUGUGCGUCAGGCAUGAGCUUCCAGGUGACGGGCCACCCGAGACAGCACCUGGAACAGCAGCAUCCCUCAUCUUCCUGCGGCCCCGGGGCCAGAGCAGCGGAUGCGGCUGAGGCUGCUGGCCAUGCGGAGCCUGGAGCUCAAUGGGGAGGGUUCCGCAGCCACCACGGGGCUGACCAAAGCCCCUUGAUGGCCAGCCUGGGGUAGGCCACCUUGCCCCUUUCAUCAUGCUGCGUCCACUGAGAAGUGAGUGGGGAGGGGACGGCUCCUCCUGGGCGCGGGUCAGGAUCCGUGCAAUUGGUUUGUUUUGCUUUGUUCCUGGAAGCCACUCAUCCUGCUUAUGGGCUUUGGUUUGUUUUUGAUGGACCGGCCGUCAGUUGGUUAAGACUACGAAGUGGGAGGAGUUCUGAAAAGACAUUCCUUUGGUGUCGCCGUCGCUCUGACGGACGCCAGGCCGCGCAUCUGGCCCCCUGUGGCAGCUCCUGCCAUGGCUGUCCCCCAGCUUCUUGUCCACAGACGCAUGGAGAUGCCGUGUCCUCACUAGUGUUUUUCAAGUGUUCAAUCUGCUGUUCCCUGGAAGGAGCGUGCACCCCCCACACGUCCAAGUCUCUUCAUGCAGCACGUCUGCCGUGGCCCCAAGUCCCCGCAGCAAGCCAGGGUCUGGUCUGAUCUUGUGGCAGCCUGACUGAGCCAGGGGGAGCCCAGGGGUUGGGCCAGGCCCUGUCCUGGGCGUUUUUCAGUGAGACGAACACUGAAAUCAGUGGGCAGAGUAGGGGUAGAUGGCCCUCCUGUGACGGGGGGCCGUGUCUGAUCCAUUGAGGGCCCGAGCAGAGCAGAAAGGCCGGACCCUCCCUCUAGGAGGGACCCCUCCAGCCUCAGACCCAUGCUAGCCAGCAGUGCUUGCCGACUGCGCUCCUGGGGCCUCGGCCUGCACAGCCACCCUGACUUGAUUGUCUGGGCGAACGGGUGGUUGUGACCCCGCGGAGCCCAGCUGGCGGAGCAGAGAGGCUGGGUGGGGGCCCCCGGGCUCGGGGUGAGGGAGGAGGUGAGCUGCUGUCAGCCAGAGAGUCCAGGCCCAGGAACUGCCCAGAGACCCUCCCGUGGGCGAGGGGCGCUGUGGGACCCUGAGGGAAGCAGGAAGGCAGGCCGAGGGGAAGGAGCAGCCCCACGGGAGAUGCGGGCUGGGGCCCUGUGUGGUCAGUAGGCGGCCGCCCCGAGACUGCCCGGGCUGCUCCCAGCGCUGCUCAGGGUUUCGGGGACUAAUGAGGUCAUGACGUGGGGCUUUCAGGCAGCUGGAACAGGGAGGCACUGGGUGUCACAGCAAGGCAGGGUCCCCUUCUCCUCCCAUAGGCCCGGGAGCCUCAGCGCUAACCUAGAAGCAAUCCACACACCCAUUGCCUCCCCGAGUUGCCCUCAGGCCCUGGCGUUCUCGCCCAGGGCAGAGGGCCUGGGGCAGCAGAGCUGGGGCUCCGCUUGGUCCAGGCCGCCGCCCGCUGGACAAGGACUCCACCUACAGGCCGGCCCUGGGAUGCGCCAUCUCCGAGGCCCCAGCCCGGGGUGGCAGAGCCCCAGAGGCUAACACCCAGCAGGAGGCCAGCCUCCCUGCACGCUGGGCCCCUGGAGCUCUGUGAAUAUCCUAGCAAAGGUCACACAACGCUCUUGGGCUUUCGGCUGUGGGCAGGGUGCACGCAGGGCCCAGAGGUCGGCCCAGCAGGGACGGCGUCCACGUGGCCGGCACCCCCAGUGCUCUGUCCCCACGCAGCUCUUUGCUAGGUGACGGGUGUUUGCUGGCAGCCCGUGGCUCCUGGGGGGUUCGGGGUGCCCCCAGCACACCUGCUGGGUGCCGGCAGUCACGGUGAGGACCCCAAAAGCUAUGAGCACUGGGUGGUGCAUCUGGGGCAGCCUGGUCUUCAGAGGACACAGCCCCACUGGCCCUCCCCGCAGCCCAGGGAAAUGGGCCUGGUUGGGGGGUGCUGGUGGGGGUGGUGGGUUGUAAACAACAAUUAAGGCCUCUUUCUAAUUGCUGUGGUUAAUUAGUUGAUGAUGGAGCCUCCCUUAGCAUGGGGGCCCUUCAGAGAGGAGCUAAGGACUUCACCUGCUCCUCCCCAGGCUACGCAGAGGGCCAGCGGGGGCUCCACAGGCUUGGGUCCUGGGGGAGACACCAGGGACCUGGCUGAGGGUCCUGAGCCUGCCCCACGCCUGCCAGCCCACCAGGGUCAAAUCCCCUUCUGGUACCUGCGAGAAGACUCUUAACACGGAGGCAGAGCAGGGAAGGGCAGGCCCCGGGGAACACAGGGCAGAUAAUUGCCUGCUCCCGGCGCCCCCACCCGCCAGGAGCAGGAAGCAGCGAGCCUGGGCAAGUCCGCUCCCUCGGGCGCCCCAGAGCACCUGCCUUCCUGAGCUGAUGCAACAGAAGGGUCCCUCAGACGCCCCGGGAGCCUGGGGGUCGGGGGGGGGCUGUUUGUGCCUCAGGCUCCUCUGGGCCAGGGUCCCAGCUCUGUGCCACACAGGGUGUCCAGGGGCUGUGAACACUCUGCCCAAGCAGCUGCGUCAUAGGAAAAGCCAAGCAUGAGAAAGGCCACCAGGUUUCAGGAGACAGGACAGAAACAAAGACCCUGAGAGAUGGUCAAGUCCAGACAGAGGCAGACAAGCCACCCCUUGGGGAACACCGUCCCCAAACUGGGGCGUCGCACGCUGUGUUUAGUUGUCAUCUUGUCCCGUGUGUGGGCCUCCCCGUCAGGUGCAGCGUGUUCCCCCACCCAGCCCCUGGAGCCUUCCAGCUGCCCCGCCGCCCCCUGUCGUCUGUUGUCUCCAUGAUUUUGUCAUUUCAGGAAUGAGUGACCUUUUGAGACUGGCUUUCUUCACCUAGAAAAUGCCCAUAAAAUCCAUCCUGGCACUGCCCAAGGUGCGCCAAGGAGCGGCGGCCCUGUUCUCCCACCAAGGGACACUGGGCUAUUUCCAGGUCUGGCUUUUUACCAACAAAGCUGCUGUGAACAUCUGGUACAGGUGUUUGGGUGGACAUCAGUUUUUAUUUCUCUAGGAUAAAUACCCAGGAGUACCCCUGCUGGCUUACCCAGGAAGCGCAUGUUUGGUGUACAGGAGACCGCGAAAGUGCCUUCCGGGCACCGUGUUCCAUUUCACCCCCCACCCCAAGCAGUGCAUGAGUGACCCGUUUCUCUGCAGCCUCCGCAGUAUUUGGUGUUGCCACCAUUUUCAGUUUUAGCCGUUGCGAUGGAUGGGUGGUGGCACCUCCCGUGGGCCCAAUUUGCAUCUCCCCGAUUCGGACCAUCUUUAUAUCUGCCUACCUGCCACCUGGGCGCUUUUUUAGUGAAAUGUCUCUUGUCCAUCUUCUAAUGCUUUAAACUAUUUACAAAGGUAGAACACUUUAUUUCCUCUUAAACUUUAUCUGAAUUAAAAAAAAUCCUCCUGAUUAAAUACCUGAUACCUGGAUUAAUUCAAUUUAGGGUAGCUUAUUCUAAAAUUUCUCUUAAGUUUUCAAACUUAAUGUAAGCUUAGCAGGAUUUCAUCUUAAAGCAACAAAUCUAAGUAAUUUCCAUGCUUAAAUGUUGCCUCGGUGGCAAGCUGAUCACCUCUCAUGCACUAAAACACAAAAUGUGUUCUCAUCCCAUUUCAACACAGAAAAAUUCUAGUGCCCGAGUUUGGUUCUCUGCUCCCCACACUAACUCGAAGACCCCCGGGGCAGAGAGGCGACCAUUCAGGGACCCUGCCCACCCAGGGGCCCAGGCGGUGCCUUUGACCCGAGAGAUCUGCAGGAUGCUGGCAAGAUCCAGCCGUCCAUCCUGGCGGGUUUUGCUGGGUGCCAGCCCAUGUCCCACGUCAUCCUCCGUGCCCUUCGGGGAGCACCCCCACAACUGCUAUGUGGGAUUUUGCCUUUCUGUGGCCCUUAAGAUAGUAAACAUAUUUUUGUUUGGGCCUGGAAGUUAAUCUCUAACGUGAUGGGCCCCUGAGAGGUGCCCUUCUGCUCUCCACUGACCCAGGGCAACUGGGACGGUGCAGCUCAGGAGCUGGCACUUCCAGGAACACCUCAGCCCCGCCCGGGCCUGUCAGACACUCACCUGACACGGACUUUCCCUCCAAGUUCACGACGGCUUCACAGGUCUGGCCUGUCCGCCUUACGGAAGAGGGAGAGGCACCCAGAGAGCUGGUGGAGCUGCCUGGCUCAGCCAUGACACUUCACUUCCUGAUGGUGUGGCCCGGGGCCCCACCAGCCAGAGACUGGGCCGGGCGGGGCUGCUGGGAGCAAGAGUGCAAUACUGUCCUACAUGGCAGCCAACCAGUACCUCGUAAAACCAGAGACUGAAAAAAAAAAACCAGGACGGGAGUUCCCUUUCGCCACAGUGGGUUAAAGAUCUGGUGUUGUUACAGCAGCGGCUCAGGUUGCUGCUGUAAGGGGGGUUCGAUCCCUGGUCAAGGAACUUUCACACACCACAGGUGCAGUAAAAAACCCCACAAACCAAAAAAAGGCAGCGAAGGGAACGGAGGUCACCACGAGUCACAGUCAAAGGGCUGUUGGCCCUGAGAAGCUGGAAUUGGAAGUCUGGAAGGGUCGAGUCAGAGACGAAAACGAAACAGAAACAGGCCUCUGCUUCUAGCCCAGAUGUAUCCCAGGUACCCCCACCCCCGCCCCAACCGACUAGAACCCAGACAAGACCAGGAGGCAACGGUCCCCAAGGCACAGGACAUCAGGCGACCAAGGACAGUGACCCCCAGGAUGAGGGUGCAAUUGCGGUGAGUGCCCUGGCUGCCCAGCUCACGGCUGCCAGCUCCCGGGCAGAUGGUCCCAAGGGAUGAGUGCGGCCAGAGUUCACAGGAUGGAGCCGUGAGGGGAGUGCUCUUGAACCCGCGGGGGCCGCUAGGGAACUCAGGAGUGGGGCACAAUAAGCCCUGGAGCGCGGGCUGCCCAGAACCUCCUCACGGGGCUCAAGGGGAAGAUCCAAAAGGGUCAAACGGCCGCCAAGGAAUUUUUCGGCAUAUCCCAGAACAGAGCCCAAGAGCAUGGAUUAUAAGAUUGUCCAGAAGCAAGGUAAGGUUGCCAUCUGGCAAGCAACCAAGGAUGGCCACAGUUGGCUCAAAAAUAAGCACAUAACAGAACCAAACAACCUGAAUAAUCGUUAAAAACCUUCUUACAAAGAGAAUUCCCAACCCAUUUAAAUUCCUAAACAUUUAAGGGACAGAUGAGACCAAGUAUCUGCUGGCUGGUCCACAGUGAAGAGGAGGUGAGCUUCCCGCCUAGUCUGAGGACAGCGAGACCCUCACAGCAGAUACAAGGCAUCCUGGCAAAUUACUCUUAACUCGGAGAAUUUUAGCAAAUUAAUACAGCAAUAGGAUAACCUAUCAUGACCAGAUGGGAUUUCCUCGGAACAUAAGGCUGGUUUAACAUCCGAGAAUCAGUGUGGUCCCACGUGAACAAACUAAAAAGGAGAAGCCAGAUGAUCAUCUCAAUAGAUUUUUUAAAAAGCGUUUCGACAAAACCGAAAGCAAACAAACAAACAAAAACCACGUAGAAGGAGAGGGCACUUCCUCAGUUUAGUGAGGCGGGGGUUCCUGUGGGCCUCGACAGGUGGAGUAUGGAUGAGACCUCAAGGCAGAGGUGUUGAGGGGGCAGCUGGUUACAUGGAGACAAGGUGCAGACAAUUGUAUUGUUCAUUUCAGGAACUUCAUGGGGGAAAAAAACUCUAAACACCAGGCUUUCAACAGAUCCCAUGACUCCUCCGACGCCCUGCCUUGCUGUGUCCACCAACCCUCAACUACCACGCGGGGACUUUCCCCCACCUGCACCGAGCCUCCUCCGCACUGGAAGCUCACCCUGACCCUGACCUGUGCCUCCCAGAUCGGGGCACUGCAGAGACUCAGCCAAGAACCCAGGCGUAUCAUCUCAUCUGCAGGCUUCUUGAGCAGCAUUUUCAGGGAGCCCAGGUCUGACGCUACUGAGACGCACUGGCGGAAAGGUCACCCUCUGAUAUCAGAGGAUGCAUUAUGAAUGGAUGCCCUGACCUUAGAGAAACUUGGGGCUGAAGCAGGAAGGCUCAGCAAUAAAUACCAAGUUCCCACUGGUCUUCAGAAAACCACCAAGAAGGUGGAAAGGUGCAGAGCCGUACAAAGCAAUUCUGUGACACGGCGCAGGUGGGCGCAGAGCCCAGAGGAGCUGCUUCAAUGAGGCAGGACUACUGCCCGAGGAUGGCUCACACUGGGCCAGCUUCCUCCCGACCACGUGGGCCCACUGUCCUCUGGGAGGGAAGACCCAGAGCGACUCAUCCUCCUGCCCCAUGCUCUUACUUGGAGAGUAGCUCGCCCGGCGAGUCUGAUACUCCAUUUCCGUUGAAGGGUGUUCAAACUUGGGAUGAAUGUCCUGAGGCAGCGUCCAGAAGGGGAGGAGAACCUGCAGGAUUCAGCCAGAUGACCAACUGCACAGAAGCCAGCCAGGAAGGGAGCUGUGGUCGUCAGGGAGCCCAGGGACUGGGAGCGGCCUGGAGCCACCUGUCCAAUAGCACUCGUGCCCUGCACCCCUGCACACCCUAACCCUAUCUGCACCCGACUCAAACAACGCUCCCAGGGUCCUGCCCUCUCCUCGGCACACUUGCGAUCCCAUUUCCUGAGAAGUUAGGAGUGCUGCAGGACACACACUGCUCUUCUUGUCUGGGGCGGCUCAGAGGCAGAGCCUGAGACCACACAGAAAUUCCCGUGUGUCACAGUUCCCAUAGUGGCUCAGUGGUUAAUGAAUCUGACUAGCAUCCAUGAGGACGCAGGUUCGAUCCCUGGCCUCGCUCAGUGCGUUAAGGAUCCGGUGUUGCCAUGAGCUGUGGUGUAGGUCACAGACGUGGCUUGAAUCCUGCGUUGCUGUGGCUGUGAUGUAGACUGGCAGCGGCAGCUCCGAUUUGACUCCUAGCCUGGGAACCUCCAUAUGUGACCCUAAAAAAAAAAAAAAGCGAAAAAAAAAAAAAAAA